rnacentral:lncRNA from 1 species
AGAGCACAUCUCAACACACUGAGAAGAGCAAGGGAGUGUGAGGAUGAGGUUACCCUGAAAGACAAACAAGCAAGGGGAUGGAAUUCCAAGCCUGAAAAAGAGAAAAGAGAUAAAGCUUUGAUUGUGAGCAAAUAAAACCGGAAAUCUAGAAAACCUGGUUGAGAGGAACUGGAGCGAGAGAGCAACUGGAUGGGGAGCAGCAAUAUUGACAAGAAGGCUGGAGACAAGUUUUGUGAACAGCAGCUCAGGAGGCCUAGGAUAUUUUGCUGUUUCCUAAGGAAAGACGCUCUCUAUGCCUGCCUUUUCUCUUCUGGGUUCUUGUGCCCUACCAGACUCUUGCUCAAAGGUUGUCAUACAAUUCAGCUGUGCCUGACAGCCAGCACUGUCACAGCUAUUGUGGUGGCUCUGAGACUGAAAUUCAACCUCCAGAUGUAGCUGGGAGUUAGUUCAUCAGUGUCAGGGAAGACUGGAGCCAGCUGAAGGACUUGAACGCAGGCCCAAUGAGCUGGCCACAUGGAAAAGCCAAGCAGCUACAUACUGUAAUCCUGAACAGCCCAUUCAACGGUCAGAUAUCCAGAUAGCUUGCUGGGCUCCAGGGCAACAAACAAAAGCAAUGAUGAAAACACAGAAAUUUUGCAGAUCAGUAGAUGCAUUUCAUACUCCUGAAAAUUGGACCACUUGGAUUAAGCUGCCUAACUCAAUUAUUUUUAGGGAAAGAAGGGGAAAAAUAACCUUGAAGUCUGUAGUUUGUUAUCACAUCCUAAGACCUUUCUUGGAUUUUUGAUCAGAUGGAACGGAUAUGGUCAAGAGGGAAUGUCAUUCUUUGGUGGGUCUUUCUGUAGUCUUACAUAACAGAUUAAUAAAUUUACUUGGCUUGUUCUGUUGACUAGAGAACAGUGACUUUUUUUUGGAAGAAACAUUUUUCCUCUGAAAAAUGCUUAUUUAAUUCUACCAAAUUUCUCUGUAUUCUGGCUGAUACAUAUAUUUUUUUUUUUUUGGCCAAAAACAUUCAAACAUUUCAGAAGAGCUUAAAUAUUUUGAUUUUUCAUUAAAAUGAAGUGCUUUGUUUCAUGCUGUACCCAGAACCUUUUAAAAAUAAAUUUUAUAAAAGCUUUUAUUCAUCU